rnacentral:rRNA from 1 species
GUGCCAGCAGCCGCGGUAAUACGGAGGGUGCGAGCGUUAAUCGGAAUUACUGGGCGUAAAGGGCGCGUAGGCGGUCGCGCAAGUCGGGUGUGAAAGCCCCGGGCUCAACCUGGGAAUUGCAUUCGAUACUGCGUGACUAGAGUCUGGUAGAGGGAAGCGGAAUUCCGCAUGUAGCGGUGAAAUGCGUAGAUAUGCGGAGGAACACCAGUGGCGAAGGCGGCUUCCUGGACCAAGACUGACGCUGAGGCGCGAAAGCGUGGGGAGCAAACAGGAUUAGAUACCCUGGUAGUCCACGCCCUAAACGAUGAGGACUAGACGUUGGGGGGAUAAAACCCUUUAGUGUCGCAGCUAACGCGUGAAGUCCUCCGCCUGGGGAGUACGGCCGCAAGGUUGAAACUUAAAUGAAUUGACGG